rnacentral:lncRNA from 1 species
UUUCAUCCUCAGGAUGGGAAGUCCUCACAGAGUUCAGUUUUCCCUGGGGCUUGUGAUCACUGUCUCCUUGGUGACAUGCAAUCUGGGAGUGCUUUCUGGAGUCUGAUAAGAACAUACUGGCACAUUGCCUGUGACGUGUGGGACCCAGGCAUUUUCAGUGCUGAGGACUGUGUGUUUCUGUGCUGGAACUCAAGUGAACACUGGCUCAACAUCCUUAGAAAUCCAGCCCAAUUCUCUUGGUUAAAGAUAAGGUCUAGCUUUAUCACCCAGGCUGGAGUGCAGUGGUGCCAUGUCGACUUACUGCAACCUCCACCUGCCACCUCAGCCUCCUGAGUACUUGU